rnacentral:rRNA from 1 species
AGAGCGAACGCUGGCGGCAUGCUUAACACAUGCAAGUCGCACGGUUCGGGGGCAACCCCGGGCAGUGGCGGACGGGUGAGGAACGCGUAGGAAUCUGUCCCGGAAUGGGGGAUAACCGUGGGAAACUACGGCUAAUACCGCAUGCGGCCCGAGGGCCAAAGGCGCUGAUCGCAAGGUUGGGGUCGUUUUGGGAGGAGCCUGCGUCCGAUUAGCUUGUUGGUGAGGUAAAGGCUCACCAAGGCUACGAUCAGUAGCUGGU